CUAUGACGGUAGCAGUCCAGUCCAUGCAGCUGCAUUUUCUGGUCACCCAAGACUUCUCAACAGUAUCCUGCAAGCCGGAGGUGAUUUAAGAUUCCAUGAUCAAAAGGGUCGGACUCCUAAGGACUGGGCCCAGCAAGCUGGAAGUGAACAAAAUGCAAAGGUCAUGGACAUCAUACAACAGUACUAUGCUCAGAUGACAGCACAGGUGCAGCAUGGAGAUCAGUCACUGUAUUCAAAAAGUCUAGGAACACCUUCACGCAGUUUGCGUUCUUCUUUCACCUCACUUUUAUCUACCUCCUUCUGGUAUCUGGACUGUCCCCAAAUGUUUGCAAAUGUGAAGAAGCCAUUUGUUGGAUAUGGA